rnacentral:rRNA from 1 species
CACGUAGGGUGCGAGCGUUGUCCGGAAUUAUUGGGCGUAAAGAGCUCGUAGGCGGUGUGUCGCGUCGGCCGUGAAAACCUGCAGCUUAACUGUGGGCUUGCGGUCGAUACGGGCAUCACUGGAGUUCGGCAGGGGAGACUGGAAUUCCUGGUGUAGCGGUGAAAUGCGCAGAUAUCAGGAGGAACACCGGUGGCGAAGGCGGGUCUCUGGGCCGAUACUGACACUGGAGGAGCGAAAGCCGUGGGGAGCAAACAGG